UACGUAGGGGGCAAGCGUUGUCCGGAUUUAUUGGGCGUAAAGAGCGUGUAGGCGGCCAGAUAGGUCAGCUGUGAAAACUCGAGGCUCAACCUCGAGACGUCGGUUGAAACCAUCUGGCUAGAGUCCGGAAGAGGAGAGUGGAAUUCCCGGUGUAGCGGUGAAAUGCGCAGAUAUCGGGAAGAACACCCGUGGCGAAGGCGGCUCUCUGGGACGGUACUGACGCUGAGACGCGAAAGCGUGGGGAGCGAACAGG
rnacentral:rRNA from 2 species